rnacentral:rRNA from 1 species
GAGCGGCGGACGGGUGAGUAAUUAUGGGGAUCUGCCUGAUGGAGGGGGAUAACUACUGGAAACGGUAGCUAAUACCGCAUAAUGUCUUCGGACCAAAGCGGGGGACCUUCGGGCCUCCGCGCCAUCAGAUGAACCCAUAUGGGAUUAGCUUGUAAGUGAGGUAACGGCUCACCUAGGCGACGAUCCCUAGCUGGUCUGAGAGGAUGAUCAGCACACUGGGACUGAGACACGGCCAGACUCCUACGGGAGGCAGCAGUGGGGAAUAUUGCACAAUGGGCGCAAGCCUGAUGCAGCCAUGCCGCGUGUAUGAAGAAGGCCUUCGGGUUGUAAAGUACUUUCAGUCGGGAGGAAGGUGGUAAGGUUAAUAACCUUAUCAAUUGACGUUACCGACAGAAGAAGCACCGGCUAACUCCGUGCCAGCAGCCGCGGUAAUACGGAGGGUGCAAGCGUUAACUCGGAAUUACUGGGCCGUAAACGCGCACGCAGGCGGCUUGAUUCGAAGUCACGAUGUGAACAUUCCCCCCGGGGGCUUUCUAAAACCCGGGGGAAAAUUCGCCAUUCUUGGAAUAACCUGGGGUACNAAGCUCAAGAAGGUCCAUC